AUGUUCAUUCUUAUUUAUAUGGUCUUAUUUUGUUGGCUAUUAUGUGCGAUGUUAUUUCGAUGUUUGUGUUCUAUUAUGAUUGUGGGCAUGUUGAAAAUGUUAUGGAUUGAAUUUUCGUUUAAGAGAUGGAUAAGGUUCGAGAUAUGGUUGAGGGGUAUGAAGGUUACAGUGAGGUUUAGGUUUAUUGCAGUGAGGUUUAGGUCUGUAAAAUUGGUGGUGAAGGACUGGAGAUGGUAUAGAGAUGUAGAAGGUUUGAUUUAG